AAUAUAUAUGUAAUUUUUUUGUACUGUAAGGUGUAGUAAUCAUAGAUGAUCAACCAGAAGUGACUGUAGAUGACUCUUCAUUUUUAUGUGAUGCAGAUGAUGGAUUUCAAGAAGUUACAUCUAAAAAAAGACAUAAGGCAAUGGUUGAAAACGAUGUCAAGAAAAUUAAAAAAGAGCCACGAAGUAGAAAUAAAAGUGGUUCGAGGCUUCGACAAAACAGACUUCCACCUAGAUUGGCUAAACAAAGGGA